AAAAGUAUAAUAUUUUUGUUUGGAAACAAGCGGUUCUUUCUGAUCAGCGCUUCGCUCCUUUGGAGGCCGAAUACCAAUUUGACCGGAAGCCCGGAAUUUUCGAAAAAAUUCCAGAUCUAAAUUUACAUAUACCGGUAACUAGCGGUAAUCAAAGAUUAGUGGAGUGCGCUCGACGUCUUUAGUUGGUUUCACUUUGGUUAAUUUCGUUUACCGAUAUUCAACCCAUCUUUCUCAAUCGACAUUCAUGCACGUAUCCCCUGCGGAGUGUGUUGCGUGACACAACGCGAUGCUCACGCAAUGUGCUAUUAGUACAGUACCAGGAGGAGAGCGUGAGGUUUUGUAAAACCAGAAAAAUAAACGACUUUGUGACAGUCUAACCCAAGUUUUUACGUACGUAGUCUCAGGAGUAGUGUAAACAGGCUCAUUCUCCACAAGAAACCAAUUCAUUUUAAAAUUAAUUCCAAUUUUUAAAGUUUAUACCUUUAUUAAUGAUUGAGAAAGUCAUAUUACUGUGAUUAGCUGAGAGCCGACCAAUUUAUAUUUUUUAAAAGAUAAAUAAACAUAAAUUUGCACUGCAGUUGAAAAUAUUAACAUGCGUGAAUAUGUAAUUUUCUCAGUCAUGCACAACCAUUUUACCAUUCAAGUUUUCUCUCACUGUGACGGACCAAGGAGAAAGAGGGACUGCUCUUGAUAUGCACUAACAUUGAUGAAAUUUGGACCAGUGUUGCCAAAGCAGUGGUGAGUGGCACCCUGGGAAGUGCUGCCAAUGUGUUUACGAGUGACAACCAAUUGAUGGAGUAUACUAUUCUCAUCUACAAUGAAGAUUUCACAAAGAAAGAGCAAGUGUGGGCUGUCGAGAGAAGUCUCAGGACUUUGGGAGUGACAU